CUCCCCUAAGCGGCGGACUGGUGAGUACGCGUGGGUGAUCUACCUUAAGAUUGGGGAUAGCCGUUAGAAAUAACGGAUAAUACCGAAUACGAUCACGAAGUUUUGACUUUGUGAUGAAAGGCGCUUCGGCGUCGUCUUGAGAUGAGCCCGCGUCCCAUUAGCUUGUUGGCGGUGUAACGGACCACCAAGGCGAAGAUGGGUAGCCGGCCUGAGAGGGUGAACGGCCACAUUGGGACUGAGAUACGGCCCAAACUCCUACGGGAGAGCAGCAGCUAAGAAUAUUCCACAAUGGACGAAAGUCUGAUCGGACGCGACGCCGACGUGGAUGAGGAAGGCCGAAAGGUUGUAAAACUCCUUUUGUCAGAUGAAGAAUAAUCACAGUAGGGAAUGAUUGUCGAGAUGACGUUAGUCGAGCAGAAAUAAGACCCCGGACUAAUUAC
rnacentral:rRNA from 1 species